GGGGCUGAUUCUGGAAAGAGAGUUGUUGUGAGGGUCGACACUACAGCUAAAGAACGGAUCAGGGAGUAUGUCCGUCGACCAAGUGAAAAAUGUUUUGAUGAGGUUACUGAUGACUUUAAUUCAGAAUCAAAAGCAAGUUUAGAUAUCUUAGUCAACAUGGUGUCAAUUCUACCAGAAGAAUACAAUUGAGUUACUGAGGUGAAGGAUUCGGUAGAUGAUGCCGAUGCUGAAGAAAUGGCGUUACAUAAGCCAAGAUGUUAC
rnacentral:lncRNA from 1 species